rnacentral:misc_RNA from 1 species
GGCCACCAAGUAUGCAGUUGUUUCAGAAGGAUACAAGUGGAGCUAAUGAGGAUAAGGUUGUUGGAAAUGAAAAGCAUGUUGUCCACAUCGAGAAACAAGAAAGACGUUCUAGGAAUAGAGAUAGGCCUGAUCGUGGUGUUUGGGCUCCUCUUCGUCGCGCUGAUAGUUCACAAGCCAGUAAUGGAUCAUUAUCAUCUGGUAAUCCUCAGUCUUCCCAAGUGCGGGAGUUUGUUGAAGGGGGUCAAGGAGAAACGAAAAAUGAUCUGCCAAUUGCACGAGGUAGUGAGUUCAGACCAAUUGGAAUUGGGCGUCAUACUAACUCUUCUACUGAUAAUGGUAACUAUAAACAUGGUGGUCGUCGUGGUUUGAGGGAUGUGGAUGACACUUCUAUUGGGGAAGGAAAACCCGUGAGAAGGGGAGGCACUUCUGCUUACAAUUCUC